rnacentral:rRNA from 1 species
ACGAGCGCAACCCUUGAUCUUAGUUGCCAUCAUUUAGUUGGGCACUCUAAGGUGACUGCCGGUGACAAACCGGAGGAAGGUGGGGAUGACGUCAAAUCAUCAUGCCCCUUAUGACCUGGGCUACACACGUGCUACAAUGGACGGUACAAAGAGCUGCAAGACCGCGAGGUGGAGCUAAUCUCAUAAAACCGUUCUCAGUUCGGAUUGUAGGCUGCAACUCGCCUACAUGAAGCUGGAAUCGCUAGUAAUCGCGGAUCAGCAUGCCGCGGUGAAUACGUUCCCGGGCCUUGUACACACCGCCCGUCACACCACGAGAGUUUGUAACACCCGAAGUCGGUGGGGUAACCUUUUUGGAGCCAGCCGCCUAAGGUGGGACAGAUGAUUGGGGUGAAGUCGUAACAAGGUAGCCGUAUCGGAAGGUGCGGCUGGAUCACCUCCUUUCUAUGGA